GCCAUAAUCAUGACCUUGCCAGCCAUGAUUGGUGCCCACUUACUCCUCUAGAGGACAAUCUGCUGGUGAGGAGAUCUCUAAGGCACUUGGUCCAUGCUUAGAUCUUAGAGAAGGGCCCAGUGAAGUUCCCAAGUGUCAUCUAGGAUAGCACGUAGCCUUGAGUUCAAGUCCUGCCCUGCUGCUUUAGGCCCUCUUUGCACAAAGUGCAGUCAGCUACAGCUGUCCUUCUCAAGGCACUCUGAAUCCAGCUCCUCCUAAGGUCUACUCACUGCCUCUGGGACCAGGACACAGCCAGGCGGCUGCUGGCAUGGUGCCUCCUCAAAUCAGCAGGGCCCACAGCUCCCUCCUGGGCCUGUGUCCACAGCUGACUGCUCUGCAGAGCCAGGCUCUGCCAGCCUGCAAUCUCCUAGAGCCUCCUCUGUAGGCAGUGAUGACUCUGAGCCUUGGGGCCACCGGAUCAUGUUACACACAUACUGAUUCUUCUGGGACCACAUGUCUGGGUGGCUAGAGGACAGAAGUCAGCCCUGCGUGGGGUAGAGUGAGGCUGACCUGAUAAGAUCAGUGGACUCUGCUCUCUCCAGGAGGCCAGCAGGCCUCCUAUGACAUACUCCUAUCUGGCUGGAGCCCAGGGAGUGGGGAUGGGCUCUGGGCUUCCUCUUCUUCAUAAAC
rnacentral:lncRNA from 1 species